rnacentral:rRNA from 1 species
CCUACGGGAGGCAGCAGUGAGGAAUAUUGGUCAAUGGCCGAGAGGCUGAACCAGCCAAGUCGCGUGAGGGAAGACGGCCCUACGGGUUGUAAACCUCUUUUGUCGGGGAGCAAAGCGAACCACGUGUGGUUUAUUGAGAGUACCCGAAGAAAAAGCAUCGGCAAACUCCGUGACAGCAGCCGCGGUAAUACAGAGGAUGCGAGCGUUAUCCGGAUCUAUUGGGUUUAAAGGGUGCGCAGGCGGAGGUGCAAGUCAGCGGUCAAAUUGCGGGGCUCAACCCCGUACUGCCGUUGAUACUGCAUCCCUUGAGUGCGCGAGAGGUAUGCGGAAUGCGUGGUGUAGCGGUGAAAUGCAUAGAUAUCACGCAGAACUCCGAUUGCGAAGGCAGCAUACCGGCGCGCAACUGACGCUCAUGCACGAAAGCGUGGGUAUCGAACAGGAUUAGAUACCCUGGUAGUC